rnacentral:misc_RNA from 1 species
GGAACAGGCACAUUCUUUGGAGUGAUAAAAUUUGAUGGGCGAACAGAUAAAAUCCUAGAGCCAGCAGGAAUUUGCUGGUUUGCACCUAGAUUUGGUUUCCAACCUUGUGAACUCACAUUCUUGGAGUACUUUACUGUGUUCUGUGAUGAUAAUGCCACAGUAUUGAUGUUAACCACAGGAUUGCCACCAACUUUAUGAUCUGAACUUCUAUCAAACUCAAAAGCAUCUGACGAUGUCUUCACUGAAG